UACGAAGGGGGCUAGCGUUGCUCGGAAUCACUGGGCGUAAAGCGCACGUAGGCGGCUUCUUAAGUCAGGGGUGAAAUCCUGGAGCUCAACUCCAGAACUGCCUUUGAUACUGAGGAGCUUGAGUCCGGGAGAGGUGAGUGGAACUCCGAGUGUAGAGGUGAAAUUCGUAGAUAUUAGGAAGAACACCGGUGGCGAAGGCGGCCCACUGGCUCGAUACUGACGCUGAGGUGCGAAAGCGUGGGGAGCAAACAGG
rnacentral:rRNA from 1 species